UACGAAGGGUGCUAGCGUUGUUCGGAAUCACUGGGCGUAAAGCGCGCGUAGGCGGCUUCUCAAGUCAGGGGUGAAAUCCUUGGGCUCAACCCAAGAAUUGCCUUUGAAACUGUGAAGCUGGAGUGUCGGAGGGGAUAGCGGAAUUGCUAAUGUAGAGGUGAAAUUCGUAGAUAUUAGCAGGAACACCGGUGGCGAAGGCGGCUAUCUGGACGACAACUGAUGCUGAGGCGCGAAAGCACGGGGAUCAAACAGG
rnacentral:rRNA from 1 species